rnacentral:tRNA from 1 species
GGGACCGUGGUGAAAUCGGUAAACACGCUGGAUUUAGGAUCCAGUGCCACUGGCUUGGGAGUUCGAGUCUCCCCGGUCCUA